rnacentral:tRNA from 1 species
GCCGUUGUAGCUCAGUUGGUAGAGCGGCUGUUCAUGGAUCAGCAGGUCGAGGGUUCGAUUCCUUCUAAUGGCA